AAUGAGAGUUUGAUCCUGGCUCAGGAUGAACGCUGGCGGCGUGUCUAAGGCAUGCAAGUCGAAUGCCGCAACUGUAACGACGGGUUUUAAACCUGUCGCUACAGUUGCGGCAUGGCAGACGGGUGAGUAACACAUUGGUAACCUACCUCUAACUCGGGCAUAACUCGGAGAAAUCCGGGAUAAUUCCUGAUAGCCAUGGGGGGACAUAAGUCAUUCCCAUGUAAAGAUUUAUCGGUUAGAGAGGGGCCUAUGGCCCAUCAGCUUGUUGGUAAGGUAAAAGCUUACCAAGGCAAUGACGGGUAGCGGGUGUGAGAGCAUGACCCGCCUCACUGGGACUGAAAUACUGCCCAGACUCCUACGGGAGGCUGCAGUCAAGAAUCUUCCGCAAUGGCCGAAAGGCUGACGGAGCGACGCCGCGUGUAGGAUGACGCCCUUCGGGGUGUAAACUACUUUUCUCAGGGACGAAUUCGUGACGGUACCUGAGGAAUAAGUCACUGCUAACCUCGUGCCAGGGUUACGGGGCCAGCAGCAGCGGUAAGACGAGGGUGGCUAGCGUUAUCCGGAUUUAUUGGGUGUAAAGCGUCCCUAGGCGGUUUGAUAAGUUUUUGGUUAAAUCUUUGAGCUCAACUCAAAGGCUGCUAAAAAAACUACCAGACUAGAGACCGGGAGAGGUCAGCGGAAUGGCCGGUGUAGUAGUAAAAUGCAUUAAUAUCGGCUAGAACACCAAUUGCGAAGGCAGCUGACUAGAACGGAUCUGACGCUCAUAGGACGAAAGCGUGGGUAGCGAAUGGGAUUAGAUACCCCAGUAGUCCACGCCGUAAACGAUGGGUACUGAGCAUUGGAAGUAUCGACCCUUUCAGUGUUGUCAAUCUAAGCUAACGCCUUAAGUACCCCACCUGGGGAGUACGGCCGCAAGGCUAAAACUCAAAGGAAUUGACGGGAGUCCGCACAAGCGGUGGAGCAUGUGGUUUAAUUCGACAGGGCUUGACAUCCUGCGAAUCCCAAUGAAAGUUGGGAGUGCCUUUAUCGGAACGCGGUGACAGGUGCUGCAUGGUUGUCGUCAGCUCGUGUCGUGAGAUGUCAGGUUAAGUCCUUUAACGAGCGCAACCCUUACUCUGUGUUAAAUUAUUCACAGAGAACUGCCCCGGAUAACGGGGAGGAAGGUGGGGAUGACGUCAAAUCAGCAUGGCUCUUACGCCCUGGGCUACACACGUGCUACAAUGGCGAGUACAAAGGGUUUGCAAAACCGCAAGGUGAAGCUAAUCCCAUCAAAACUCGUCCCAGUUCGGAUUGAGGUCUGCAACUCGACCUCAUGAAGUUGGAAUCGCUAGUAACCGUGAAUCAGCCACGUCACGGUGAAUACGUUCUCGGACUUUGUACACACCGCCCGUCACAUCAAGAGAGUCGAUAGUACCCGAAAGCUGACAUUUUGUCGGACUAAGGUAAGAUCGAUGAUAGGGAUGAAGUCGUAACAAGGCAUCCGUAGCGGAAGCUGUGGAUGGAUCACCUCCUU
rnacentral:rRNA from 1 species